rnacentral:hammerhead_ribozyme from 1 species
AUCCAGCUAACAAGUCCUAAAAAGGACGGAAUGCGCAUCCUGGAU